CCUACGGGGGGCUGCAGUGGGGAAUAUUGGACAAUGGGGGCAACCCUGAUCCAGCCAUGCCGCGUGUGUGAAGAAGGCCCUCGGGUUGUAAAUCACUUUCAGUGAGGAAGAACGCCUGGUGGUUAAUACCCAUCAGGAAAGACAUCACUCACAGAAGAAGCACCGGCUAACUCCGUGCCAGCAGCCGCGGUAAUACGGAGGGGCGAGCGUUAAUCGGAAUUACUGGGCGUAAAGCGCGCGUAGGUGGCUUGAUAAGCCGGUUGUGAAAGCCCCGGGCUCAACCUGGGAACGGCAUCCGGAACUGUCAAGCUAGAGUGCAGGAGAGGAAGGUAGAAUUCCCGGUGUAGCGGUGAAAUGCGUAGAGAUCGGGAGGAAUACCAGUGGCGAAGGCGGCCUUCUGGACUGACACUGACACUGAGGUGCGAAAGCGUGGGUAGCAAACAGGAUUAGAUACCCCGGUAGUC
rnacentral:rRNA from 1 species